rnacentral:rRNA from 1 species
GACGAACGCUGGCGGCGUGCUUAACACAUGCAAGUCGAACGGAAAGACCGUACUUUUGUGGUGUUCUCGAUGGCCGGACGCGUGAGUAAGACGUGAGUAACCUACCCUUGUCUUUCGUGUAACUUCAGGAAACUGGGGCUACUACCGUAUAGGAUCUCCUGCUGCGUGGAGGGCGUUGGAAAUUUGCGGCGGUUGGGGAUGGACUCGCGGCUUAUCAGCUUGUUGGUGGGGUAGUGGCUUACCAACGCUUUGACGGGUAGCCGGCCUGAGAGGGUGGACGGCGACAUUGGUACUGAGAGACGGCCCAGACUCCUACGGGAGGCAGCAGUGGGGAAUAUUGCACAACGGGCGGAAGCCUGAUGCAGAAACGCCGCGUGCGGGAAGACGGCCUUCGGGUUGUAAAAAGCUUUCGCCUGAGACGAAGCGUGAGUGACGGUAAUGGGUAAAGAAGCACCGGCUAACUACGUG